rnacentral:rRNA from 1 species
UACGUAGGGGGCAAGCGUUAUCCGGAUUUACUGGGUGUAAAGGGAGCGUAGACGGUUAUGCAAGUCAGAAGUGAAAGUCCAAAGCUCAACUUCGGGACUGCUUUUGAAACUGUGUAACUAGAGUGCAGGAGGGGUAAGCGGAAUUCCUAGUGUAGCGGUGAAAUGCGUAGAUAUUAGGAGGAACACCGGCGGCGAAGGCGGCUUACUGGACUGUAACUGACGUUGAAGCUCGAAAGCGUGGGGAGCAAACAGG